UACGUAGGGCGCAAGCGUUGUCCGGAAUUAUUUGGGCGUAAAGAGCUCGUAGGCGGCUUGUCACGUCGGGUGUGAAAGCCCGGGGGCUUAACCCCCGGGUCUGCAUUCGAUACGGGCUAGCUAGAGUGUGGUAGGGGAGAUCGGAAUUCCUGGUGUAGCGGUGAAAUGCGCAGAUAUCAGGAGGAACACCGGUGGCGAAGGCGGCAUCCUGGCCGAAUAUGACGCUGAGGAGCGAAAGCUAGGGGAGCAAACGGG
rnacentral:rRNA from 1 species